UACUGAACAGGGCUCCUUUUAUCCAGCCAUGCACCAACAUUCCCAGAGAACCACAGCUUACCUUGGACCUUAGGGUUGUCUAUGUGGUACAGCAAAACACAUUAGAGGGGUGUGAUCUGUAAACUGCUCUAACUGCUCUGUAUAGACCCUGCUGGCAUGAACUAAAAUGUACCUAGUUUAUGUUAAAGUGCACAGUGUGCUCAACAAAUCAUACCCCUUCAAUUUGCUUUGCCAAGACCAUGGAGCUAGGCUGUGAUACAUGAUCACCACGCAAAAUCAGCCUUAGUAGGUAAAACUCAAGCCUAGCUAUGCAGCCAAGCAUUACAGCACCAUGAGAAAAGCCCAGGUUUGGAAGAGAACUUUUGGACAUGCACUUGACAGCUACUAUAGUGGAAACUGUAUCAAUUGAAGAGGUGCCACACCAUCUCAGGACAGAAGGGUGUUAAUACAGUUGAGAGUGAAAGACCUGGAUUUUACUCCUUCGUGUGCACUAUCAAUGAUGGUUUCUAAAAUUCAACCAGUUUUACCAGUGUGAACCCAUUCAAGAUCCUGUAAGAUUCUGGAUUUAUAACAUCACAAUUCUUUGGCAUGGAAAUGUUGAUGCUGCACUGUUACAAUGUGAUUUCCCCAUAACAGGAAAAGAAAUGGCUUGAGUUAACAAGUGCUCCCAGCUAUGCAGAAGCAACAUAGGGAAAUCCCUCAAA